ACGCUGGCGGCGUGCCUAAUACAUGCAAGUAGAACGCUGAAGAGAGGAGCUUGCUCUUCUUGGAUGAGUUGCGAACGGGUGAGUAACGCGUAGGUAACCUGCCUUGUAGCGGGGGAUAACUAUUGGAAACGAUAGCUAAUACCGCAUAACAAUGGAUGACCCAUGUCAUUUAUUUGAAAGGGGCAAAUGCUCCACUACAAGAUGGACCUGCGUUGUAUUUGCUAGUAGGUGAGGUAACGGCUCACCUAGGCGACGAUACAUAGCCGACCUGAGAGGGUGAUCGGCCACACUGGGACUGAGACACGGCCCAGACUCCUACGGGAGGCAGCAGUAGGGAAUCUUCGGCAAUGGGGGCAACCCUGACCGAGCAACGCCGCGUGAGUGGAGAAGGUUUUCGGAUCGUAAAGCUCUGUUGUAAGUCAAGAACGAGUGUGAGAGUGGAAAGUUCACACUGUGACGGUAGCUUACCAGAAAGGGACGGCUAACUACGUGCCAGCAGCCGCGGUAAUACGUAGGUCCCGAGCGUUGUCCGGAUUUAUUGGGCGUAAAGCGAGCGCAGGCGGUUUGAUAAGUCUGAAGUUAAAGGCUGUGGCUCAACCAUAGUUCGCUUUGGAAACUGUCAAACUUGAGUGCAGAAGGGGAGAGUGGAAUUCCAUGUGUAGCGGUGAAAUGCGUAGAUAUAUGGAGGAACACCGGUGGCGAAAGCGGCUCUCUGGUCUGUAACUGACGCUGAGGCUCGAAAGCGUGGGGAGCGAACAGGAUUAGAUACCCUGGUAGUCCACGCCGUAAACGAUGAGUGCUAGGUGUUGGAUCCUUUCCGGGAUUCAGUGCCGCAGCUAACGCAUUAAGCACUCCGCCUGGGGAGUACGACCGCAAGGUUGAAACUCAAAGGAAUUGACGGG
rnacentral:rRNA from 1 species